rnacentral:misc_RNA from 1 species
UUCAUCUGCAUGGACAAGUCGAUCACCUAUCGCGACCUCGACGAAAUGUCGGCGGCGAUGGGCGCCUACCUGCAGAGCAAGGGCCUCAAGAAGGGCGCGCGCGUCGCCAUCAUGAUGCCGAACGUGCUGCAGAACCCGGUCGCCUCANCUGGUUACACCGUGGUGAACGUCAAUCCGCUCUACACGCCGCGCGAACUUGAGCAUCAGCUCAAGGAUUCCGGCGCCGAAGCGAUCAUGCUGCUGGAAAAUUUCGCCACCACGCUCGAGAAGGUGCUGCCGAACACCAGCGUCAAGCAUGUCAUCAUCGGCUC